rnacentral:rRNA from 1 species
AUUAAUAAACAAAGAUUAAAAAAAAAGCACUCGUUCUCGUCCGAACACGAAAGUUAAGCAACGCUGGGCACGGGUAGUACUUAGAUGGAUGACCGCUUGGGAACUCCGUGUAGUGUUGGCU